rnacentral:lncRNA from 1 species
UGCUUGUUUCAUGUCCCCCACUGGGCCUCUGUGUUGGUGCAGUGAAGUCCUCGGAGAGGGGACUGUGACAGGAGGAGGUGUCCUUGUCCUUAUUGCACGGGGGGGAGGUGUUCUAGAACAGAGUUGUAUUCUCAAGCCCAGCUACUCGAAGCAGAACAUUCCUUCCCAGAACUAUUUCUGUUGGUCACUGCGUACUUGUCCACUCACCAGUGAAAUCAUUUCUCCAUUGAUGGUGUUAUCUUUGUGUGCAUGACCCUAGAGAAUGUAGCAUAUCGCAGAAAACCCACUACACUGCAGACUCUUAGAGGAAUUGAAAAUGCAUGUGCAGCAAUCUAAAUGACCAAGGUUACCCAAGCAGCAGUUCACCGUACUAAUAAAUGUCUGGAAGCUACUGGUCACCACUUUGAAGACCUCUUGUAAUUGCAGAGGCCAAAGAUGACUUCUGUUAAUCUCAUGAUGUCUCAAUAAAUU